UACGUAGGGGGCAAGCGUUGUCCGGAUUUAUUGGGCGUAAAGAGCGUGUAGGCGGCUAGAUAGGUCCGUUGUGAAAACUCGAGGCUCAACCUCGAGACGUCGAUGGAAACCAUCUGGCUAGAGUCCGGAAGAGGAGAGUGGAAUUCCUGGUGUAGCGGUGAAAUGCGCAGAUAUCAGGAAGAACACCCGUGGCGGAAGGCGGCUCUCUGGUACGUGACUGACGCUGAGACGCGAAAGCGUGGGGAGCAAACAGG
rnacentral:rRNA from 1 species